rnacentral:rRNA from 1 species
AUUGAACGCUGGCGGCAUGCCUUACACAUGCAAGUCGAACGGUAACAGGUCUUCGGAUGCUGACGAGUGGCGAACGGGUGAGUAAUGCAUCGGAACGUGCCCAGUUGUGGGGGAUAACUGCUCGAAAGAGCAGCUAAUACCGCAUACGACCUGAGGGUGAAAGCGGGGGAUCGCAAGACCUCGCGCAAUUGGAGCGGCCGAUGUCAGAUUAGGUAGUUGGUGGGGUAAAGGCCUACCAAGCCGACGAUCUGUAGUUGGUCUGAGAGGACGACCAGCCACACUGGGACUGCGACACGGCCCAGACUCCUACGGGAGGCAGCGGUGGGGAAUUUUGGACAAUGGGCGCAAGCCUGAUCCAGCAAUGCCGCGUGCAGGAAGAAGGCCUUCGGGUUGUAAACUGCUUUUGUCAGGGAAGAAAUCCUCUGGGUUAAUACCCCGGGGGGAUGACGGUACCUGAAGAAUAAGCACCGGCUAACUACGUGCCAGCAGCCGCCGUAACAC